rnacentral:rRNA from 1 species
GACGAACCGUGCGAACGUUGUUCGGAAUCACUGGGCUUAAAGGGCGCGUAGGCGGGCUGUCAAGUCCGGGGGUGAAAUCCUCCAGCUCAACUGGAGAAUGGCCUCGGAUACUGAUGGUCUCGAGGAGGAUAGGGGCACACGGAACUGUGGGUGGAGCGGUGAAAUGCGUUGAUAUCCACAGGAACUCCGGUGGCGAAAGCGGUGUGCUGGAUCCUUUCUGACGCUGAUGCGCGAAAGCCAGGGGAGCAAACGGG